rnacentral:rRNA from 1 species
AGAUGUGAGGGUGCUCGAAAGAGAACCGUAACACAGGUGCUGCAUGGCUGUCGUCAGCUCGUGUCGUGAGAUGUUGGGUUAAGUCCCGCAACGAGCGCAACCCUUGCCAUUAGUUGCUACAUUUAGUUGGGCACUCUAAUGGAACUGCCGGUGACAAACCGGAGGAAGGUGGGGAUGACGUCAAGUCCUCAUGGCCCUUAUGGGUAGGGCUUCACACGUAAUACAAUGGUAGGUACAGAGGGCGGCCAACCCGCGAGGGGGAGCUAAUCCCAGAAAGCCUAUCGUAGUCCGGAUUG